rnacentral:lncRNA from 1 species
UUAAAAUUACGUUUAUCUUGAAGCACGAAUCACAAUGUAAAAAUUAAUAUUUUUCUAUUACAAAUUCAAAUUUCCAUCGAAAUUUUUCUUCUAUAAAGAAUGUUGGACCUCCACGAGAAGAAAUCAUUGGAUAAGUUUUCAUGCUUAUUAAGGGAACCUCUAGUACAAACAAUGCCCUAAUAACCUUCAGUCAUCCCGAUCGACAACCUGUAAUCGGACUACAACCCCUCUUCUUCUCAAUUGGGAGUGGAUUCAAUGCUUUGCACUUCCCUUCAUGAUCACCUUUUCCAACACAUGAAAAUCGGGGAAAGUUUUUAUAGUCGAUAUGUUUUAGUGGUGCACCUUCUGAAAGAAGUGCACAAACCAAAAGCACCGCAAGAAGCAUAGUCUUUCCUUUCAAUGAAUCCAUUCUCGUUAGUUUGGAA